UACAGAGGGGGCAAGCGUUGUUCGGAAUUACUGGGCGUAAAGGGCGCGUAGGCGGCCUGUUAAGUCGGACGUGAAAUCCCUCGGCUCAACCGGGGAACUGCGUCCGAAACUGGCGGGCUUGAAUUCGGGAGAGGGAUGUGGAAUUCCAGGUGUAGCGGUGAAAUGCGUAGAUAUCAGGAGGAACACCGGUGGCGAAGGCGGGUCUCUGGGCCGAUACUGACGCUGAGGAGCGAAAGCGUGGGGAGCGAACAGG
rnacentral:rRNA from 1 species